rnacentral:rRNA from 1 species
GACGAACGCUGGCGGCGUGCCUAAUACAUGCAAGUAGAACGCUGAAGGAGGAGCUUGCUCUUCUGGAUGAGUUGCGAACGGGUGAGUAACGCGUAGGUAACCUGCCUGGUAGCGGGGGAUAACUAUUGGAAACGAUAGCUAAUACCGCAUAAUAUUGAUUAUUGCAUGAUAGUCAAUUAAAAGGUGCAAUUGCAUCACUACCAGAUGGACCUGCGUUGUAUUAGCUAGUUGGUGAGGUAACGGCUCACCAAGGCAACGAUACAUAGCCGACCUGAGAGGGUGAUCGGCCACACUGGGACUGAGACACGGCCCAGACUCCUACGGGAGGCAGCAGUAGGGAAUCUUCGGCAAUGGACGGAAGUCUGACCGAGCAACGCCGCGUGAGUGAAGAAGGUUUUCGGAUCGUAAAGCUCUGUUGUAAGAGAAGAACGAGUGUGAGAGUGGAAAGUUCACACUGUGACGGUAUCUUACCAGAAAGGGACGGCUAACUACGUGCCAGCAGCCGCGGUAAUACGUAGGUCCCGAGCGUUGUCCGGACUUAUUGGGCGUAAAGCGAGCGCAGGCGGUUAGAUAAGUCUGAAGUUAAAGGCUGUGGCUUAACCAUAGUACGCUUUGGAAACUGUUUAACUUGAGUGCAAGAGGGGAGAGUGGAAUUCCAUGUGUAGCGGUGAAAUGCGUAGAUAUAUGGAGGAACACCGGUGGCGAAAGCGGCUCUCUGGCUUGUAACUGACGCUGAGGCUCGAAAGCGUGGGGAGCAAACAGG